rnacentral:rRNA from 1 species
AGGCUGGGUGUGUAAGCGUAGCGAUACGUUGAGCUAACCAGUACUAAUGAACCGUGAGGCUUAACCUGACAACACCGAAAGUGUUUUG